UGGGAAAUUUUGGACAAUGGGCGCAAGCCUGAUCCAGCAAUGCCGCGUGCAGGAUGAAGGCCUUCGGGUUGUAAACUGCUUUUGUACGGAGCGAAAAGGUCUGCCCUAAUACGGUGGGCUCAUGACGGUACCGUAAGAAUAAGCACCGGCUAACUACGUGCCAGCAGCCGCGGUAAUACGUAGGGUGCGAGCGUUAAUCGGAAUUACUGGGCGUAAAGCGUGCGCAGGCGGUUGUGUAAGUCAGAUGUGAAAUCCCCGGGCUCAACCUGGGAACUGCAUUUGUGACUGUAUAGCUAGAGUACGGCAGAGGGGGAUGGAAUUCCGCGUGUAGCAGUGAAAUGCGUAGAUAUGCGGAGGAACACCGAUGGCGAAGGCAAUCCCCUGGGCCUGUACUGACGCUCAUGCACGAAAGCGUGGGGAGCAAACA
rnacentral:rRNA from 1 species